rnacentral:rRNA from 1 species
AUUGAACGCUGGCGGCAUGCCUAACACAUGCAAGUCGAACGCGAAAGAGGGGCAACUCUUGAGUAGAGUGGCGGACGGGUGAGUAAUACGUAGGAAUCUGCCCUAGAGUGGGGGAUAAACUGUCGAAAGACGGGCUAAUACCGCAUAAUCUCUAAGGAGCAAAGGUGUCCCAUCGCAAUAUGGGGUUCCGCUUUAGGAUGAGCCUACGUCGGAUUAGCUAGUUGGUAGGGUAAUGGCCUACCAAGGCGACGAUCCGUAGCUGGUCUGAGAGGACGAUCAGCCACACUUGAACUGCGACACGGUCCAAACUCCUACGGGAGUCAGCAGUAGGGAAUAUUGAACAAUGGGGGAAACCCUGAUCCAGCAAUGCCGCGUGUGCGAUGAAGGCCUGCGGGUUGUAAAGCACUUUCGGUGGGGAAGAAAUACGCAAAGAUAAUACCUUUGAGGGUUGACGUUACCCACAGAAGAAGCACCGGCAAACUCUGUGCCAGCCGCCGCCGUAA